rnacentral:lncRNA from 1 species
CUGCUGCUUCGCCACGAAAGAGUUCCCGUGCCGUGGGAGUAAGUCUGGGACCUCUGGUCGGACCGGAGAGUCGCAGCUGUGUGUUAGGGCUAGGAUGGCUCCUGGAUGCGCGUGACGCAAGUGACCUUGCGUGUAAAGGGAUACAUGAUCCCUUAAUUCAGGCUCAGGCUGAAGAACUGACCCACUUACAACAGAAGAUACAGGAAGGGAGAGGUGUCUGCUACCUUUUCACCCAGCAUGUGAAGAACACAGUCAAGUCUUUUGAGGGCCUUCUCAGGAACACUGACAUUGCCUACUACCAGAGACAGAGAUUCUGUGAGCAAAUGGUACAAGGAAGCCAGCUGACAGAGAUCCUUGUCAGAAAACUUGCCACAGAGAGACGGGGUUUCACCACAUUGGCCAGGCCGAUCUCAAACUCCUGACCUCAUGUGACCCACAUUGGCCUGGCAAAGUGCUGGGAUUACAAGCAUGAGCCACCACACUGGCCUAGCUUCUUUAAUACAAGAAUCAACCCCAAUGCUCACUAACAAACUGAGAAGAAAAAAAAGAAUUACCCCCAACAACAUCUGAGGAAGCACAACAGGGACAGACUUGAAGAAAAUCACAAUGGCUCAAGAGGGAAGUCCAGGAGGAAGAAAUGGAUGAAGUCCUGGAGUACUCACUAGAUGAACAGUAUUUGACUCAUUCCAGCUGCCAUGACUCCCACCAGCUUCCCAGCAGCAAUGCCUUCCUCUUUGAUGCACAGGAAGGCCCCUCGGCUGUGGAAACAGCCAAAGAUGAGAUCCAGAGCCAGUGGCAGCACCUGAAGGAGACCCUUUUCAUCAACAACUGCCUGUGAGAAAAGCUAGAACGUCAUCACAGCAGCUUUGAUGAAGAAAAUGGUAGGAGAGGCCC